CGUUUACAUACUUACCUUUUAGGAUUGCUUUUUUUGCAACAUUAAAUAUUCUUUUGUCAUUUUCUUAAUAGAAUAUUUCAGGAAUACAAUUAUUACAAAAUAAAUAUUGAAUAAAAACUUCCAUCAUAUCGAUCGAAUAUUCACAAAACAAAGUUCAUCUCGUUGCAAAUUCCCGGACUCCCCAAAAUCCACGCAACGCUACUCCGGAUCGAUUAAGGAGAAAAUUAGAUCUAGAGGACCGUUAUUGCACCGCGAUUACCAAUAUUGUAGUAUGCAUCGAUAAUCGAAUGGAUCCCCUCCUAUCUAUCUAUCGAUUUUCGCUGAUGCAUCGAUAUUUCGUCAUUUGCCCGUUAAAUAUGCGUCCAUGCCUUUGUAAAGCCAUAUCUUUCGUUGGAUUGUCGCGUCAAAUGCAAUUCAUUCCGCGCGAUUGAUUCACCAUUGAAAAACUGUGUUGCAGCAUGCUUUGCCCUUCGAAAAGUAAUUAACAAGCAGGCUAGCAUGCAUUUAUUUAUUCCGGAAAUAUUCUGUUCGGGGAACAAGCGUGAAAUGCGAUCGGUCCUUGUCAUGUUGAGAUCACAGAAAUCGAACGUGAUGGAGCGGAAUUGAAAUAUAUACAUGUACAGAGAGUUCGGCUGUAGGUAUUUAAAAGAAAAAAAAGCCAAAAUAAAAGAAUGGCUAUCAAGAAUAACAAAAA